AGCCUUAAGGUGAUUUUUCAUAUCGAAUUGCAAAUUCGGAGGAGUAGGAAACACCCUACUAAGGCUU
rnacentral:tRNA from 1 species